UUCGUAGCUGGUUUGUUAAGUCUCUGGGGAAAUCUUCCGGCUUAACCGGAAGGCGUCUCAGGGAUACUGGCAGACUAGGGACCGGAAGAGGUGAGGGGUACUCCAGGGGUAGGAGUGAAAUCCUGUAAUCCUUGGGGGACCACCUGUGGCGAAGGCGCCUCACCAGAACGGCUCCGACAGUGAGGGACGAAAGCUGGGGGAGCAAACC
rnacentral:rRNA from 1 species